rnacentral:rRNA from 1 species
CUAGUGACCGAUAGUGAACCAGUACCGUGAGGGAAAGGUGAAAAGCACCCCGGAAGGGGAGUGAAAUAGAACCUGAAACCGUGUGCCUACAACAAGUCAAAGCCCGUUAAUGGGUGAUGGCGUGCCUUUUGUAGAAUGAACCGGCGAGUUACGAUUGCAUGCGAGGUUAAGUCGAAGAGACGGAGCCGCAGCGAAAGCGAGUCUGAAUAGGGCGUUUGAGUAUGUAGUCGUAGACCCGAAACCAUGUGAUCUACCCAUGUCCAGGUUGAAGGUGCGGUAAAACGCACUGGAGGACCGAACCCACGUACGUUGAAAAGUGCGGGGAUGAGGUGUGGGUAGCGGAGAAAUUCCAAACGAACUUGGAGAUAGCUGGUUCUCUCCGAAAUAGCUUUAGGGCUAGCCUCGGAUUUGAGAAUGAUGGAGGUAGAGCACUGUUUGGACUAGGGGCCCAUCUCGGGUUACCGAAUUCAGAUAAACUCCGAAUGCCAUUCAUUCAUAUCCGGGAGUCAGACUGUGAGUGAUAAGAUCCAUAGUCGAAAGGGAAACAGCCCAGACCACCAGCUAAGGUCCCAAAAUAUAUGUUAAGUGGAAAAGGAUGUGGGGUUGCACAGACAACUAGGAUGUUGGCUCAGAAGCAGCCACCAUUUAAAGAGUGCGUAAUAGCUCACUAGUCGAGUGACCCUGCGCCGAAAAUGUACCGGGGCUAAACAUAUUACCGAAGCUGUGGAGUACACCAUGAGGUGUAUUGGUAGGAGAGCGUUCUAAGGGCGUUGAAGGCAGAUCGUGAGGACUGCUGGAGCGCUUAGAAGUGAGAAUGCCGGUAUGAGUAGCGAAAGACAGGUGAGAAUCCUGUCCACCGAAUGACUAAGGUUUCCUGGGGAAGGCUCGUCCGCCCAGGGUUAGUCGGGACCUAAGCCGAGGCCGACAGGCGUAGGCGAUGGACAACAGGUUGAUAUUCCUGUACUCGUUGUUUUUGUUUGAGCAAUGGAGGGACGCAGGAGGCUAAGGAAUGCAGACGAUUGGAAAUGUCUGUCCAAGCAGUAAGUCUUGAUAGGAGUCAAAUGCUUCUGUCUACACGGAUAAGCUGUGAUGGGGAGGGAAAUAAUAGUACCGAAGUUCCUGAUGUCACACUGCCAAGAAAAGCUUCUAGUGAGAAAACAAUGACCCGUACCGCAAACCGACACAGGUAGUCGAGGAGAGAAUCCUAAGGUGAGCGAGAGAACUCUCGUUAAGGAACUCGGCAAAAUGACCCCGUAACUUCGGGAGAAGGGGUGCUGAUCUUCGAUCAGCCGCAGUGAAUAGGCCCAAGCGACUGUUUAUCAAAAACACAGGUCUCUGCAAAAUCGUAAGAUGAAGUAUAGGGGCUGACGCCUGCCCGGUGCUGGAAGGUUAAGAGGAGUGCUUAGCGUAAGCGAAGGUACGAAUUGAAGCCCCAGUAAACGGCGGCCGUAACUAUAACGGUCCUAAGGUAGCGAAAUUCCUUGUCGGGUAAGUUCCGACCCGCACGAAAGGCGUAACGAUUUGGGCACUGUCUCAACGAGAGACUCGGUGAAAUUUUAGUACCUGUGAAGAUGCAGGUUACCCGCGACAGGACGGAAAGACCCCAUGGAGCUUUACUGUAGUUUGAUAUUGAGUGUCUGUACCGCAUGUACAGGAUAGGUAGGAGCCGUAGAAAUCGGAACGCUAGUUUCGAUGGAGGCGCUGGUGGGAUACUACCCCUGCGUUAUGGCCACUCUAACCCGCACCACUGAUCGUGGUGGGAGACAGUGUCAGAUGGGCAGUUUGACUGGGGCGGUCGCCUCCUAAAAGGUAACGGAGGCGCCCAAAGGUUCCCUCAGAAUGGUUGGAAAUCAUUCGAAGAGUGUAAAGGCAGAAGGGAGCUUGACUGCGAGACCAACAAGUCGAGCAGGGACGAAAGUCGGGCUUAGUGAUCCGGUGGUUCCGCAUGGAAGGGCCAUCGCUCAACGGAUAAAAGCUACCCUGGGGAUAACAGGCUUAUCUCCCCCAAGAGUCCACAUCGACGGGGAGGUUUGGCACCUCGAUGUCGGCUCGUCGCAUCCUGGGGCUGUAGUCGGUCCCAAGGGUUGGGCUGUUCGCCCAUUAAAGCGGCACGCGAGCUGGGUUCAGAACGUCGUGAGACAGUUCGGUCCCUAUCCGUCGCGGGCGUUGGAAAUUUGAGAGGAGCUGUCCUUAGUACGAGAGGACCGGGAUGGACUUACCGCUGGUGUACCAGUUGUUCUGCCAAGGGCAUUGCUGGGUAGCUAUGUAGGGAAGGGAUAAACGCUGAAAGCAUCUAAGUGUGAAGCCCACCUCAAGAUGAGAUUUCCCAUUUCUUUAAGAAAGUAAGAUCCCUGAGAGAUGAUCAGGUAGAUAGGUCAGGAGUGGAAGGCCAGUGAUGGUUGGAGCGGACUGAUACUAAUCGAUCGAGGACUUAACCAA